rnacentral:rRNA from 1 species
UGGGGAAUUUUGGACAAUGGGCGCAAGCCUGAUCCAGCCAUGCCGCGUGCGGGAAGAAGGCCUUCGGGUUGUAAACCGCUUUUGUCAGGGAAGAAAAUCUUCUGAGUUAAUACCUCGGGAGGAUGACGGUACCUGAAGAAUAAGCACCGGCUAACUACGUGCCAGCAGCCGCGGUAAUACGUAGGGUGCAAGCGUUAAUCGGAAUUACUGGGCGUAAAGCGUGCGCAGGCGGUUUUGUAAGACAGAGGUGAAAUCCCCGGGCUCAACCUGGGAACUGCCUUUGUGACUGCAAGGCUUGAGUGCGGCAGAGGGGGAUGUAAUUCCGCGUGUAGCAGUGAAAUGCGUAGAUAUGCGGAGGAACACCGAUGGCGAAGGCAAUCCCCCUGGGCCUGCACUGACGCUCAUGCACGAAAGCGUGGGGAGCAAAACAGGAUUAGA